rnacentral:rRNA from 1 species
GAUACUAGCUUGCUAGUAGGCGUCGAGUGGCGGACGGGUGAGUAACGCGUAGGAAUCUACCUGAUAGUGGGGGAUAGCCCGAAGAAAUUCGGAUUAAUACCGCAUAAUCUAUUCGUAGUAAAGUGGGGGACUUUCGAGCCUCACGCUAUCAGAUGAGCCUGCGUAAGAUUAGCUAGUUGGUAGGGUAAAAGCCUACCAAGGCGACGAUCUUUAGCUGGUCUGAGAGGAUGAUCAGCCACAUCGGGACUGAGACACGGCCCGAA